rnacentral:rRNA from 1 species
GAUGAACGCUGGCGGCGUGCCUAAUACAUGCAAGUCGAGCGAACGGACGAGAAGCUUGCUUCUCUGAUGUUAGCGGCGGACGGGUGAGUAACACGUGGAUAACCUACCUAUAAGACUGGGAUAACUUCGGGAAACCGGAGCUAAUACCGGAUAAUAUUUUGAACCGCAUGGUUCAAAAGUGAAAGACGGUCUUGCUGUCACUUAUAGAUGGAUCCGCGCUGCAUUAGCUAGUUGGUAAGGUAACGGCUUACCAAGGCAACGAUGCAUAGCCGACCUGAGAGGGUGAUCGGCCACACUGGAACUGAGACACGGUCCAGACUCCUACGGGAGGCAGCAGUAGGGAAUCUUCCGCAAUGGGCGAAAGCCUGACGGAGCAACGCCGCGAGAGUGAUGAAGGUCUUCGGAUCGUAAAACUCUGUUAUUAGGGAAGAACAUAUGUGUAAGUAACUGUGCACAUCUUGACGGUACCUAAUCGGAAAGCCACGGCUAACUACGUG